GACGAACGCUGGCGGCGUGCCUAAUACAUGCAAGUAGAACGCUGAAGAGAGGAGCUUGCUCUUCUUGGAUGAGUUGCGAACGGGUGAGUAACGCGUAGGUAACCUGCCCUGUAGCGGGGGAUAACUAUUGGAAACGAUAGCUAAUACCGCAUAACAAUGGAUGACACAUGUCAUUUAUUUGAAAGGGGCAAUUGCUCCACUACAAGAUGGACCUGCGUUGUAUUAGCUAGUAGGUGAGGUAACGGCUCACCUAGGCGACGAUACAUAGCCGACCUGAGAGGGUGAUCGGCCACACUGGGACUGAGACACGGCCCAGACUCCUACGGGAGGCAGCAGUAGGGAAUCUUCGGCAAUGGGGGCAACCCUGACCGAGCAACGCCGCGUGAGUGAAGAAGGUUUUCGGAUCGUAAAGCUCUGUUGUAAGUCAAGAACGAGUGUGAGAGUGGAAAAUUCACACUGUGACGGUAGCUUACCAGAAAGGGACGGCUAACUACGUGCCAGCAGCCGCGGUAAUACGUAGGUCCCGAGCGUUGUCCGGAUUUAUUGGGCGUAAAGCGAGCGCAGGCGGUUUGAUAAGUCUGAAGUUAAAGGCUGUGGCUCAACCAUAGUUCGCUUUGGAAACUGUCAAACUUGAGUGCAGAAGGGGAGAGUGGAAUUCCAUGUGUAGCGGUGAAAUGCGUAGAUAUAUGGAGGAACACCGGUGGCGAAAGCGGCUCUCUGGUCUGUAACUGACGCUGAGGCUCGAAAGCGUGGGGAGCGAACAGGAUUAGAUACCCUGGUAGUCCACGCCGUAAACGAUGAGUGCUAGGUGUUGGAUCCUUUCCGGGAUUCAGUGCCGCAGCUAACGCAUUAAGCACUCCGCCUGGGGAGUACGACCGCAAGGUUGAAACUCAAAGGAAUUGACGGGGGCCCGCACAAGCGGUGGAGCAUGUGGUUUAAUUCGAAGCAACGCGAAGAACCUUACCAGGUCUUGACAUCCCGAUGCUAUUUCUAGAGAUAGAAAGUUACUUCGGUACAUCGGUGACAGGUGGUGCAUGGUUGUCGUCAGCUCGUGUCGUGAGAUGUUGGGUUAAGUCCCGCAACGAGCGCAACCCCUAUUGUUAGUUGCCAUCAUUCAGUUGGGCACUCUAGCGAGACUGCCGGUAAUAAACCGGAGGAAGGUGGGGAUGACGUCAAAUCAUCAUGCCCCUUAUGACCUGGGCUACACACGUGCUACAAUGGUUGGUACAACGAGUUGCGAGUCGGUGACGGCAAGCUAAUCUCUUAAAGCCAAUCUCAGUUCGGAUUGUAGGCUGCAACUCGCCUACAUGAAGUCGGAAUCGCUAGUAAUCGCGGAUCAGCACGCCGCGGUGAAUACGUUCCCGGGCCU
rnacentral:rRNA from 1 species